rnacentral:rRNA from 1 species
AUUGAACGCUGGCGGCAGGCUUAACACAUGCAAGUCGAGCGAGCGGCGGACGGGUGCGUAAUGUCUGGGAAACUGCCUGAUGGCGGGGGAUAACUACUGGAAACGGUAGCUAAUACCGCAUACCAUCAGAUGUGCCCAGAUGGGAUUAGGUAGUAGGUGGGGUAAUGGAUCACCUAGGCGACGAUCACUAGAUGGUCUGAGAGGAUGACAAGCCAAACUGGGACUGAGACACGGUACAGACUCCUACGGGAGGCAGAAGUGGGGAAUAUGGGACAAUGGGCGAAAGCCUGAUGCAGCCAUGCCGCGGGAGUGAAGAAGGCCGUCGGGUUGUAAAGCACGGUCGGCGAGGAGGCGUUACUCGCAGAAGAAGCACCGGCUAACUGCGUGCCAGCAGCCGCGGUAAUUC